GCUAGGCAUGGGCCACCAUGCCCAGCUGUAAAAUUUAACUUUUAAUAUGUUUUUAUCUGGAGGAAAGGGUCCACAGAGGCAGAAGUGGCCAGGGUUUGUGACGAAGGUCAUGCUGCGACUCUGGGCUGAACCACCUGGAUCCAGGCUGCAGGUGCACAUAUGGGGCCCAGGGUCAGCCUCCUUUCUGGGAGAGAAGACAGAGGAACUGGGCAAGGCUGGAGCUCCCAGGAAGGAAUCAGAUAAACUCACUGGCUGGGGAUGGAGACCUGGGGAGGUUUGGCAAUUAGGAGCAGAGGGCUGUGAUUUGGGAUUAAAGGUUGUUAACAGAGGAGUAAGGCCCAGUAAACAGGCUGCAGCACUGCCUCCGGCCCUGCCCAUUCACUUCCUGCUAAUAGCUCCCCUGUGCCUCUCCACACCUCGGCCUGCUCUCUCGCCCCUUUCUAGGGAAGACUGAGGGCCAGUGAGCCAGAGAGGUGAGCCCUUCUGCCUAGGAGCACCCAGCAGCCAACUUUAGGGAUCCUAUAGACCUCUUUGAACAAAGUGGGGGAUCACCUUAUUCCUGGAAGGACUGAUUGCUCAUCCAGUCAGUAAACUACAUUGAGGACCUACUAUGUGCUGGGGAUACACUGGAGAGCGAAACCAGGCCUGGUUCCCUAUUGGCUGGAGUCAUUGAAGAUUCUGGAGGAACAACAUGGACCAAUCUUUGUUGCAAAGAGAGUACGAUGGAUUGGCUUGUCCUUUGAGGCUCACCCUUGGUUCCAGGGAAGGGGAAAUAUGUCACCCAACUGCCCAGUUGCUGUGCCAUAAGGGAAGGGAGACUCCCCAAGCAAAACUCUGGAUUCUGUUAGGAGGGCAAAUAGAUGCUGCAGAAGCCAUUGGAGCAUGUCCCUCUACCCUGUGUGCCAGAACCCAGGGCAUUUCUGGAACCACCUUCAGCAUAUCCAGAAGUGCCUUUUAAAUCAGAGGUAGGAUGAGGAGAAAGGCCUGGUCUUUUGAGGUGGGGGACAAAAAACAAAUCUAAACUAAUUUGAUAAAAUUGUGAAGCUGAAACUACCCCCAGAGAAACAUCCAGAAGACCUUCAACUAGAUUCGGGCGACUCUGGAGAUAUUCUCUCUAAGCCCCAGAAUCUUCAUCCAGAGAUAUGAAUUUUGCUGUUCCAAGUUGUUGGAGGACAUGCAAUUGGCAUCCAGGAAGUCACCAUACCAAGAAUGCCCCAGGGUGUCCCCUACCAGCCAGAACACAAACAAAACCAUUGAAGGAAUUGGGCUCCCUUACACAGAGAGAAAUGACAACCAUGGGAGGUAAGAGGUAAAAACAAACAGAACCUAAGCAAGGAGCUCAGGGGCUCUCAGAAAUCUGCAACACAAAGGAGCCACCAGAAGGGGAGCGGCCUGAGCAGCAGCAAACACCUAGAGUUGCCCGGAGAUGCUCAAAAUAGGUGCGAAUUAAUGGUUCCCACAUCCUUGCUAAGAGAGAAAAGACUCCAACAGGUUCAGCUUAGCAGACAUUUAUGUUUCCAACACUGUGUUGAUGGACAGAUGGAAAGGCUCCCCGCUGAUCCCGGUGGGCACAGACAGGUUAAUGUGUGCGCGUCUGUAGCAGGGGUGUGGCGUAGAGCAUUUGGGGAGUCACAGAGGAGGGGACAAUUAAUUCUGCUUGGACAGCCUUCAAAGAGAGCUGUGGAGCAGCAAGCAGGGCUGUCACCAGAGCUGGGACCCUGAAGGGUAAGUAGGGUUCAGCUGAUGGUCAGGAGGGACAUAGAACAGGAGCUGUGGGCGCUGAGGCCCAGUCCUAUGAAUACCUUUCCUUUCUUCUGCAGGGCAUCCCCUGUUCCUUUGAUAUCAUCACCCAACUCCUCCCAUUAGGGAAAACCUCUCUCUUAGUGUCUUUGAUCAGAACUGCCCAUCAUAAUGAGGCACAUGACCCAGCCAGCCAAUCAGUCUUUCUCCUGGGACUCUUUUCCCCAGAAUUUGCGCUAGCUUAAGAAGAGCAGAGCCAUUUGGUCUUUGGUGUCCUAAAGAGAUUAUUCAUGAUUACUGAAACUUUCCAGGUCCUAACCUUCCCAAGGCCUGGUGGAUUAACUCCUCCUUCUAUUUCAUGAGUGGUCCAGCUUUCUUUCAUCAAUUUUUUUUUUUUUUUUUUGGUUUAGCCAGAAUAAAUUGCAAACAAAGAACGUUAGUCGAAAUGGCAGUUGGUGCCAGGAUGAGGAUUAUAGAGGAUAGAUCCCGAGGGAAAAAGGGAAUCUGGGAUAGGAUUGCUGGGCAGAGAUUUGGCAUACCCUCCGCCCAUCCACAGCUGAUCAACAGCUGCCUGCUCACCAAGAGCAGAGCUUGGGGCCUUAGUGGUUGCUGUCAUUCAAGAGGGAGGCCCCUGGGUGAGAUGGUUGCUUUGACAGUAUCAGGUCAAUUAAAGAGGGAAGAACUUAUCAUCUCCAGCAGUGUUCACCAUAUUAUAUCUAACAUUUGUUUAUUUCUUUUGUUCUUUCCUAACAGAAUGUAAAUUCCUUGAGGGAAGGGAGCUUUCAGGCAUGGUUGGGUCAUGGCUUGCACAGAGCGGGCCUUAUUGAUGAACCAGUGCACACAUGCGUUAACAGCAAGCUCUAGCUUAGAAUUUCUAGAAUAAAACCCACAAAGGUCAUUUCAGAAAGGAUGGAAGGAACUUGAUUUUUAUUCUCAAAAAUCUGGGGAAGAAUUGUGGAAAUAAAUGUUGAGGGUUUCUCCUCUAAGAAUAAAACUUGAGGUCAG